GAUGAACGCUGGCGGCGUGCCUAAUACAUGCAAGUCGAGCGAACAGACGAGGAGCUUGCUCCUCUGACGUUAGCGGCGGACGGGUGAGUAACACGUGGAUAACCUACCUAUAAGACUGGGAUAACUUCGGGAAACCGGAGCUAAUACCGGAUAAUAUAUUGAACCGCAUGGUUCAAUAGUGAAAGACGGUUUUGCUGUCACUUAUAGAUGGAUCCGCGCCGCAUUAGCUAGUUGGUAAGGUAACGGCUUACCAAGGCAACGAUGCGUAGCCGACCUGAGAGGGUAUCGGCCACACUGGAACUGAGACACGGUCCAGACUCCUACGGGAGGCAGCAGUAGGGAAUCUUCCGCAAUGGGCGAAAGCUUGACGGAGCAACGCCGCGUGAGUGAUGAAGGUCUUCGGAUCGUAAAACUCUGUUAUUAGGGAAGAACAAAUGUGUAAGUAACUAUGCACGUCUUGACGGUACCUAAUCAGAAAGCCACGGCUAACUACGUG
rnacentral:rRNA from 1 species